UGACUGGGCUGUUUCACACUAACCUUGGG
rnacentral:piRNA from 1 species